UACAGGGGGGGCAAGCGUCGUUCGGAAUUACUGGGCGUAAAGGGCUCGUAGGUGGCCAACUAAGUCAGACGUGAAAUCCCUCAGCUUAACUGGGGAACUGCGUCUGAUACUGGAUGGCUUGAGUUUGGGAGAGGGAUGCGGAAUUCCAGGUGUAGCGGUGAAAUGCGCAGAUAUCAGGAGGAACACCGGUGGCGAAGGCGGCACUCUGGGCCGGUACUGACGCUGAGGAGCGAAAGCGUGGGGAGCGAACAGG
rnacentral:rRNA from 1 species